GGUAACAGGAACUCAUGGGAUUGUUAAGGGCUGCAAUACAGAAAUGGAGAUCGGAAGGUAGGGUAGCGGUAUGGCUGCACAUUCCCAUCUUCCAAAGCCGAUUUAUUGCCCCUGCCGCUUCCCUGGGCUUCUGCUUUCACCACGCAGAAUCAGAUUCAUCUACCCUGACCCUGUGGCUGGGAAAAGGGCCCAGCAGGUUACCAGGAUAUGCUACACAUCAAGUGGGAGUUGCAGGAGCUGUAUUCGAUGAAAAUACUAAAAAAAUACUGGUUGUACAAGAUCGAAAUAAAUUGAAAAAUAUGUGGAAAUUUCCAGGAGGCCUGUCGGAGCCUGGAGAAGAUAUUGGAGAUACAGCAGUUCGAGAAGUUUUUGAAGAGACUGGUAUAAAGUCAGAAUUCAUGUCCCUCCUGAGUAUUCGGCAACAGCACACCAAUCCUGGAGCUUUUGGGAAGUCAGAUAUGUAUAUUAUAUGCCGCUUAAAGCCACGUUCAUUCAUCAUAAAUUUUUGCCAGCAUGAAUGUUUAAGGUGUGAGUGGAUGGAUCUCAGUGACCUGGUCAAGAGUGAAAAUACGACUCCCAUCACUAGCAGGGUUGCUCGGCUGCUGCUCUAUGGGUACAAGGAAGGGUUUGACAAGAUUGAUCUGACCAUGGAAGAACUUCCAGCAGUUUACACAGGCUUGUCCUAUAAACUCUAUCACAAGGAACUGCCAGACAAUUACAAAACUGUGACAGGAAUGGAUUAAAUUCAUACUAACAUGUCUAAAAAAAUGUUAGUACAUUGUACACGUAGAUUAAUGUUUGCCAUAAUAAGUAGUAGACAUUUGGGUUAACUGUAUGUCUGAUGUUAAUUUUCUAAUGCCUGUGAUUUUCAUGAAGAAAACUUGUUUGUAAGUGUGCACAUUUUAAAAGCCUCUCUUCAAAUGUAUGAAAAGAUUAUAGCUCUAAGUAAGCUUUACUGGAUAAUGGUAAAUGCUAUAUAAAAAGCAGAAGUAUAUACAUUUUCCAGGAAUUUUUGUUUGUUAUUUACUAAGGCAAUGGUUAAAUAUUUUAUUAUUAGAUAAAAGAUUAUCUGACCAGUUACCAAACUGAGCAGAUAGCUGUAUAUAUUUUUCUUUCAUUAACAAGUUUCUAAAAUAAACCUCUUCUUUCAUGUGACAUGAGAUCAGAUGCUGCCGUUAAGAUCAGCUCUUAGCAGACAUUGGAAGAAAAAGUAUAGCUUUCUGCCCAGGUCCUGUUUUGGGUCCAAGUUUAUACUGCCCCGUUCGUUUCAGUGCCACAUACCAACUGGAGUAUUUCCUCGACCGGCACUGGGAUAUAUCACUGAACAAGGAUCCCUGCCUUUCCACUCAAAUUCUCACGGGAGAAGAUGCAACAAUGAGCAUGAUUGAGAAAAACAUCAGGCAAACCCAGAUUGAAGGACAUUCUGAGAAAUACCUGACCAGUAUUCUGUCAAAGUAAUCCAAGAAAGGAAAAUCUAAGGAAAUGUCACAGUCUGAAGGAGACUACAGAGACAUGAUGACUAAAUGUGGUAUCCUGAAUGAGAUCCUGGAACAGAAAAGGACAUGAGGUAAAAACUAAGGAAAUAGGAAUAAAGUUGGGCUUUAGCUAACAUUGAUGCUUCAGUAUUGGCUUGUUGGUCAUGACAACUGUACCAUACUAAUGUAACAUGCUAAUGGGAGAAGCUGGGUGUGGAGUAUAUAGAAACUCUGUACCAUCUUCACAACCUUCCUGUAAACCUAAAACUAUUCUGAAAUCAAAAUUUAAAAAAAAAAAAGACCUCUGGCUACAGAUUUGAUCACAAAAACAUUUAUUUUUGUGCUCUAUGACAUCCAAAUACAGAUCAUUUAUUUAUAUAUACAUGUCCACUUUAUUUCACUAGACUAUAAAUGUCAUGUGGGUGGAGAUUUUCUUCUGUUGUUGCAUCAAUGCCUGGCACAUAGCAUGUGAUGAGUAAAAUACACUAAAUUAUAUGAAUAAAUGAAACUGUUUUAGAUAGGCUACAGUAAAAAUACCAUUCAUUGGCAUUGCAAAAUCUAAAUAAGAACUGGAGAACUAAGACCCAGGAAAACCCUGACUAACUUUUGAAAUACAGAAUAACUUUAUGGACUCUUUAGUCCCUGAGGAAGCUAAGCCAGUUGGACCACUCCAAGAAUCUGACUGUCCUAACAACAUCUGUGAGGAUCUUUGAUGAGCCAGGAAACUGGGUUCCACUCUUGUCUUGAUCCUUAACUAACCUGUUAUCUUUGAGCAAGUCUCUUAACCUCUGAGCCUUAUUUUUCUCACCUGUAAAAUAAGAUUGGAUUAGAUCUUUAAGAUUCCUCACAAUCUUAACAGUUUUUAAGGUUUGAAAGCCUAUAAAAUAAUCUUUUUUAAGCCCUAGCAUAUUAUAGGAAAAAAAAAAAACUUGAAUAAAUUCUCCCUGCCCUCCCAACUCCCCUCCUUUUGCACUGGUCUCAAAAUUCUCAUGCACUGCUAAAUGUUAGAUUGACCCUUAUGGCCAUUCCCCCAUGCUCUGCUUUUUGGAUUGUUUGUUUCUUUUACAGUACUUUGAUUUUGCAGUUUUGGCUUAUGAGGGAGUUUGCUCAACAUGAAUCCAAAAAUGCUUUUGCUUACACCACUUCUGAGAAUUAAAAACAGACAUGACGUAAGUAUCAGUGUUGACUAUUCAAAACAAAGUAAGACAUACAGAUUUUGAAAAAUUAAUUUAAUCUUAAUAUUGUAAUAUAUAUAAGUUACAUAAAAUUUAAGAUUGAUUUAUGAAAGCAGUAAUUCCUAUUAAGCAGUAACUUUAGCAUUUAAUCUAGAAUUAUGUCUCUUAAAAAUGAAAAACAUUCCUCUGUGAUUGCUACCUUUUUCUGACAAAUUUGAUCGGCAUAUAUUGCCAGUCUGAAUAAGUGAACCCUCAAAAAUCAAUUUUUCCCUACUUAAUGUGUGUUUCAAUUUUAAAGCCCCCUCAACUAAGAAACCUAUUUGGUAAAUUUAAAAAGUAUUUUACAUUAACUGUAUAUCCUCAGAAUAUGAAUAAUUUUUUGUAUUUCACUCUUAUGGGUGAACACAAAUCACACACAAUUCUAAUGCUAAGAUAUUUUGUUCAAGUUAUCAUAAUCUAUCACAUAACAUAGAAAACAACAUGUAACUUUCUAGCAGAUAGAGACCAGGCAGAUUUUUUCAUACCAGUGCUACUAUUAAGGUUAUGUAGUGGAGUUCCCUUCGUGGCACAGUGGAAAUGAAUCCGACUAGGAACCAUGAGGUUGCAGGCUCGAUCUCUGGCCUCACUCAGCGGAUUAAGGAUCCAGCUUUGCCAUGAACUGUGGUGUAGGUCACAGACGCAGCUCAGAUCCUGCAUUACUGUAGCUGUGAUGGAGGCUGGCAGCUGUAGCUCCGAUUAGACCCCUAGCCUGGGAACCUCCAUAUGCUAUGGGUGAGGCCCUAAAAAGCUUUACCAAAAAAAAGAAAGAAAGAAAAAAGGUUAUAUAGUGAUUUAAACUUAAAACUACAGUUAACCUCACUAUAUGCAAUUUUUGAACACUGAAGAAAUUAUAAAUCCUAAUAUUUUGUUCUGGGGUUCUGUUGCUCAUAGCAACAAAAUUUAUCUUGCCUGUGGAAUGAAAUAAGGAGUCUGUUGCAUAUUAAAAAACUACUCAACUUUAGCCUCUAAAUUUAGGCUUUGGCAGAUAAAUAUAGUUACUCUUUGAACUUUCAUAUUUUCUAGCUUCAAAGAGGGGAAAAGACCCUUAAAUGUUUCAAACAGUGAGAAAUGCUUAGCCUGAAUGCAUUUCUGCCAUUAAUAUGUGAAGCUGUUGGAGGGAAAAAAAAAAGGUACACAACUUAUACUCUCAACUAGUAAUCGACUAUUAGAAACCAAAAUUGGUUAUAUGUCUAGAUUACUCUUCUUUCUGAGGAGAAAUUAUAAUGUUUUCCUAUAAAGUGGGAAUUGCACACAAGGUAAAAAUGCAGAAGAACCCAGGGAAGUGCCAUAACACAGCAGUCUGAAAUAGAGUGGGGAGAAUUAUGCCUUUGGCAAAUGCAGGUUCAUACACCCCAGUUUCUCCAGGUAAUAAGGAACCCCCACAUCCCCAAAUGAUCACAACAUUGGACUUAUACCAAAAAUUACUAUGGGUUUUGUUUUUUCUUUUACAUGCCAGUUGUCCCUUCUCAUUGUCACCUCAGUGAGGUCCCUGCUGAUAUCCCCACUACGAUGUCUUUCACCAUCAGUGAUUCAUUUCAAUGCAUUAAAUGUUGGCAGAUGAUAUUAAAAGCCAAGGGUCAAGACUUUGAGUUUCUUCCUAAAAGCUGCUGUUGUUGACAGUCUGAUACCUAUGGAUCUGACUCAGAAAUAUGCCACUUACUGAACCACCAACACUGCCUCCUUGUUUUUGGGGUAGGAACACUACUUUUUCAUCUGAAAAUUAACACAGCCCACCCAAACUAAUGUGAAAGAGGACUGCUGCUGAAAAGUCAAGGCAGCAAGCGACACAAAUUUAAUGGUAAGACUAGAGAUUAACUCGUGAACUUGGCAGGAAUAGAUUCUAUGAUGGGAGCUGGAACAACGGGAUCUUGGCUGGUGCCAUUCCUCAAAGGAAACUGAUAAAUCCUGACUUUUCCAUUUAUGUGGAACAGCUGUUGCUUUGUCCCUAAGUGUUUGUGAUAAAUUUUUGAGCAUUGCUAAAUUAACUCUUAUACAACAGAUUUCUUUCAAGCUGAUGCAGUCAGAAAGAAUCAAUACACAUCCAAGGGAAAAGGAAUAUAUUUAAGACUAAAUAAAAUGCUAUGACCAUAAUCUUACCAAAGGUCCUGCUAGGGAAGAAACUAUAAAACACUGAUUUUUUUUUUUUUUUUUGGUCUUUUUGCCAUUUCUUGGGCCGCUGCCGUGGCAUAUGGACGUUCCCAGGCUAGGGGUCAAAUCGCAGCUGUAGCCACUCGCCUACACCAGAGCCACAGCAACACGGGAUCCGAGCCGCGUCUGCAACCUACACCACGGCUCACGGCAAUGCCGGAUCGUUAACCCACUGAGCAAGGGCAGGGAUCGAACCCGCAACCUCAUGGUUCUUAGAUUCGUUAACCACUGCGCCAUGACGGAAAUCCCAAAACAUUGCUUAUUUUAAAGCCCUUUUUCUUUUCAUGGUACAGAAUCAAUAGUUUGGAAGGUCUGGUAUCUAUGUAUCAAGAGAAGAGGUCAGUCAGGAUUCUCUGAAUUCUAACUUGUAGAGAAUUCUGGAAGAGUAAGAAGAAAGCUCAGUUUUUAGGUCUAGUAUCUUAAGUUGCCUCCUCUUUUACAGACCCCAGUAAUUUCAGAGAUGCAAAAGUAGAGUAGCUUCUCAAAUAAAUGUCUGUCAACAUAGAUGAAUGGAUAAAGAAGAUGUGCUGUAUAUAAUGGAGCAUUAGCCAUAAAAAAGAAUGAAAUAAUGCUAUUUGCAUCAACAUAGAUGGACUCAGAGAUUUUCAUAACUAAGCGAAGUAAAUCAGAGAAAAACAAGUACCACUUAUAUGUGAAAUCUAAAAACUGAUAUAAAUGAACUUACAAAACAGGCUCACUGAUAUAAAAAACAAACUUAUGGUUACUGAAGCGGGGUAGGGGAGGGAGGAAUAAAUUAGGAGCUGGAGAUUAUAGAUACUAAGUGCUGUUAAAGAAUAGAUAACAGGAUCCUACUGUAUAGCACAGGGAGCUAUCUAUAUUCAAUAUCUUGUAAUAACCUACAAUGGAAAAGAAUAUGAAAAGAAUAUAUGUGUAUAUAUAACUGAAUCACUUUGCUAUAUAUCAGAAACUAACACAUUAUUAAUCAACUUAUACAACUUCAGUAAAAAAAAAUUUUAGGAGUUCCUUUCGGGGCUCAGUGGUUAACGAAUCCAACUAGGAACCACGAGGUUGUGGGUUCAAUCCCUGGCCUCACUCAGUGGGUUAAGGAUCCGGCAUUGCCAUGAGCUGUGGUAUAGGUUGCAGACGCAGGUCAGAUCCCACAUUGCUGUAGCUGUGGCAUAGGCCGGUGGCUGUAGCUCCUAAUAGACCCCUAGCCUGGGAACAUCCAUAUGCCGCAGAUGCGGCCCUAGAAAAAAAGGCAACGUUUCCUGGUAGCUCAGCAGGUUAAGGAUCCAGAUUGUCACUGCUGUGGCGCAGGUUCAAUCCCUGGCCCAGGAAUUUCUGCACGGCAUGGGGAUAGCCAAAAAAAAUUUUAACUAGAUUAGCUUCUGUUUUCAUCAUUUUUGACAGUUAUGGAGCUUUUGGUCAUUACAAGUGAAACUAUAUUCCAGCCUGUGUUCUCAAGAUAAAUAACCCCUCUAAUGACUAUCUUACAGAUCCACCAUGAUUACCAGGUUACUGGAUCUCCUAAUCUCAGUAAGUGGAUACCAUAGGAUAACGAUCUCAAUAUACUCACUGAGUCAAAUCAAGACAGAAGAAUCUAGAGGUUUAAAACCAUUCUCACUAGUGUCAUUUUUGACUGGUGUUGUUUCACAGUUAUGACAGAAGCAAAUGUUGUAUCUCCUUUCUUUUCUCCAUCACCUUUAUUGUCUGACAGUAGCCACAUCAAACCAUUGCAGAAGACAGUGUGACUCAUACUGUAUAUGUUUUGUCACAUCCUGAGGUAAGAAGAGUAGGGUCAACCCUUCCUCUGACUAUAAGAUCAAGGUCAUCCAAAAUUACGUAUUGAUUCAGUGUCCUGGAAAUAUUUUAAAUGCUACUUCAGUAGAUUCCCAAAGUAUUACAUCACCCCUUGAAUUGACAACAGACUAGUAGAAAAAAAGACAGGGACGGGGAAGAAGUGCAAGUUUCAAGUAAUUGGUCUUUCAAAGCUGUAUGUUUUACCUAGGAAAUCUUAUCCAUUCCCAUUAUACGCACUAUACCUAUAUGCUGGUGACACCCAAAUCUAUAGAUCAACACAGACCUCUCUAAACUCCACACCCAUAAUUCCAACUAUGUAGUGAAGGUCUUCACCUGAAUUUCUCUUAGGCAACUCAAACUAGAGAAGGCUCCAUUUGAGUCUCUAUCACCUUUUCCCAGCACUGGCUCUUUCCCUCUUUCCCCUUUUUCAUCUGGUUUCCACACUGGAAACCUAUGUGCCAUCUUUGACUUUUCCUUCUACUCCACUCGUAAAUCUGAUCAACCUCAGUGCUAACACUUCACCCCUUCCUCUCCAUCCUGUUAGUGCCAGGUUCUCAUCGCUUGCUUAGACUAUUUCCACACUUUUGAGGAGCCUUGGCCCCCUCAAAUCCAGACUCUCCACUGCUGCCAGAGAGAUCUCUUUCGAGUUCAAAUCUGAUUGUGUCUCUUUUUAAAACUCUUCAGGGCUUCCCACCUGACAGCAGCAUGACAUAUAAGGCACUUCGGCAGGCAGUCUCUCUGCUUCUCCAGCCUCAUCUUUCCCCUUCGACCUUGAAUCUCUGCAUUUUACACUCCAGCAGUAGUGAAUUACGUGUAAUCCUACAGAAACUCCUAGUAAGCCUUCUGCAUCCAUGCUUUUACUUAUUCUACAUCCUAGAAUUAUCUACAUUCCCAUGUCCAUUCUUCUGCUUCGGAACCACCUGAUAAACUCCUUCCUCUACAUUAUCUAAGAUCCCCCAUUAUGGGGAAUCCCCAAUCUAAACAAGUUUAAUCAUUUCCUUUCCUAUAUUACUUCCUAUAUAAUACAUUUUACUUCCCUUUCCUAUAUUACUAUACAUGAAUGCAAGAUACAGAAGAAACACAUCAAACCCCAUACAUGUUAUUAGAAACAUUAUUAUUUACACUUCUGUCUCCCCAGGAUUGUCACUCAUUAAAGGCAUGGGCCAUUAUUUGAAUUUCGUAACUCUUAAUGCUUAGUAUAGCAUCUAGUAUACUGUACACUCAAAAAUGCUGGCUAUUCUUGAGGAUUCUAAAAUUUAGUCAUUUGUAAAAAGGAGAAGCAAGUGAGUACCACCACACCCAGACUUACUAUUUAUCCUGCAGAAAUCACAUAAAUAUUAUAAAUAUAUCUUUGUCAGAUGGUCAGGUGGUUGAAUAUUCCUUUUCUCUUAAGUCUGUUUCAGUCCCUUCAGAAAUCCAAAGAUCUUCAACUCAGAAAAAAAAUUUCCAAAACUAUCCAUAUAGCUCAGAACACCACAACUGCUAAACACUAUUAGAUCUAGAUCCCUUCUGUGAGGAAAGAGAAAGUACUUAUAACUGGCUCCUGGUACUGGUGUUAUGGCUGUGGUUUGUAGAUGUAUCUACACACACUUCAGGUACACGCCAUCACCUACUGUCCCAAUGAGAAAGAAGGGUCUGGUCUUUCAUACUGUUCUUUCUGCGCAUCGUUCCCCACACACCCUCUCUGCUCCAGAAACAUAUAGUCCCAGCUAUAGUAAUAAUGGUGACAGUGACAGAGAACCUGGAAUGAGGACCCCUGACUAGCUAUGAUAAAAAGUAAAAAAAAGUCCUUGUCCUUAAUGACUUUAUAUAUAAAUGGGAAGUAACAAUUUUGAGUAUUUAUGUAUAAGUCCCUGAUUUUGGUACUUGAUAUAAAUUACCUAAUUUAAUCCACACAAAACCUCUAUGAGAUAGGAUCAUUACUGUCUCUAUUUUCUAGGUAGGAGAACUAACCUGGAACACACGACUUAUAAGAGGAAAAGACAGCAUUUGUACCUAAGAGCCCAUAUUCUCAACUAGUGUUCUAUAAAUACAGCAGGUGUUUUUUGUAUGUCAAAUAUGAAAGAAGCUUAAAAACUCACACUUAGGAUUCUUAUAUUUCCACCCCAGUGAUCUUCAGACAGCUGCAUAAUAUAAGGACUUUUUAAAACUAUAGUUUAAUAGCUUUUCAGUGAGUUAAGAGUUCCUACUCUAGAGUCAGGACUGCCCGAGGUGCCACGCAGGCUGUGCUUCAUUAUAAGCAGUGUUUUCUUGGUGACUUUCUGAGGGAGUUCUAAAUCCCUCACAACUUCAGUUUUUGCAUCUGUGAAAUAGAGUUUAAUACUCUAUUUAUAGGGUGAGUAUGAAGAUUGAGUAAUAUAAUACCUGUAAAACCCUUAGUAAAGAUUUAAUAGGAGUUCCCAUAAUGGCUCAGUGGAAACAAAUCUGACUAGUAUCCUUGAGGAUGCAGGUUUGAUCCCUGGCCUCAUUCAAUGGGUUAAGGAUCUGGCAUUGCCAUGAGUUGUGGUGAGGUCACAGACACAGCUCAGAUAUGGCAUUGCUGUGGCUGUGGUGUAGGCUGGCAGCUGUAGCUCUGAUUUGACCCCCAGCCUGGGUAAACUCCAUGUGCCACAGGUGCAGCCCUAAAAAGGCAAAAAAAAAAAAGGGGGGGGGAUUUAAUAAAUACCAAUAACAGUAAAUUCACAGCAAUAGAAGCUAACAAAAAAAAAAAAAACUACAAAAA